rnacentral:rRNA from 1 species
AUGAACGCUGGCGGCGUGCCUAAUACCUGCAAGUCGAGCGAACAGAUGAGGAGCUUGCUCCUCUGACGUUAGCGGCGGACGGGUGAGUAACACGUGGAUAACCUACCUAUAAGACUGGGAUAACUUCGGGAAACCGGAGCUAAUACCGGAUAAUAUAUUGAACCGCAUGGUUCAAUAGUGAAAGACGGUUUUGCUGUCACUUAUAGAUGGAUCCGCGCCGCAUUAGCUAGUUGGUAAGGUAACGGCUUACCAAGGCAACGAUGCGUAGCCGACCUGAGAGGGUGAUCGGCCACACUGGAACUGAGACACGGUCCAGACUCCUACGGGAGGCAGCAGUAGGGAAUCUUCCGCAAUGGGCGAAAGCCUGACGGAGCAACGCCGCGGGAGGGAUGAAGGUCUUCGGAUCGUAAAACUCUGUUAUUAGGGAAGAACAAAUGUGUAAGUAACUAUGCACGUCUUGACGGUACCUAAUCAGAAAGCCACGGCUAACUACGUG